CAGCCGCCGCGGUAAUACAGAGGGUGCAAGCGUUAAUCGGAAUUACUGGGCGUAAAGCGCGCGUAGGUGGUUCGCCAAGUUGGAUGUGAAAUCCCCGGGCUCAACCUGGGAACUGCAUCCAAAACUGGCGAGCUAGAGUAUGGUAGAGGGUGGUGGAAUUUCCUGUGUAGCGGUGAAAUGCGUAGAUAUAGGAAGGAACAUCAGUGGCGAAGGCGACCACCUGGACUGAUACUGACACUGAGGUGCGAAAGCGUGGGGAGCAAACAGGAUUAGAUACCCCGGUAGUCCCUGUCUCUUAUAC
rnacentral:rRNA from 1 species